rnacentral:rRNA from 1 species
UACAGAGGUGGCAAGCGUUGUUCGGAAUUACUGGGCGUAAAGGGCGAGUAGGUGGCCAUCUAAGUCAGACGUGAAAUCCCCCGGCUUAACCUGGGAACUGCGUCUGAUACUGGAAGGCUUGAAUCCGGGAGAGGGAUGUGGAAUUCCAGGUGUAGCGGUGAAAUGCGUAGAUAUCUGGAGGAACACCGGUGGCGAAGGCGACAUCCUGGACCGGUAUUGACGCUGAGGCGCGAAAGCCAGGGGAGCAAACGGG